rnacentral:rRNA from 1 species
GGAGUGAACGCUGGCGGUAGGCCUAACACAUGCAAGUCGAACGGCAGCACAGUGGUAGCAAUACCAUGGGUGGCGAGUGGCGGACGGGUGAGGAAUACAUCGGAAUCUACCUUUUCGUGGGGGAUAACGUAGGGAAACUUACGCUAAUACCGCAUACGCCCUUCGGGGGAAAGCCGGGGAUCGCAAGACCUGGCGCGGAUAGAUGAGCCGAUGUCGGAUUAGCUAGUUGGUGAGGUAAUGGCUCACCAAGGCGACGAUCCGUAGCUGGUCUGAGAGGAUGAUCAGCCACACUGGAACUGAGACACGGUCCAGACUCCUACGGGAGCAGCAGUGGGGAAUAGUUGGACAAGUGGGCG